AACGCACAUUGCGCCCCCUGGCACUCCGGGGGGCAUGCCUGUCUGAGCGUCAUCGCACACCCCCUCGGGCCACGGCCCGGUCGUGGGGCGCGCCGCGGCCAGCCCGCGGCGGCCCCGAAUUGCAUCGGACUGCGGCCCCGGCCCCGGGCGCGCGUACGUGUUUGAUCGCCGACAGCGGCACCUCACGUCCGUAGCGCCGCGGUGGGCACGGGGACCGCGGAUGUCCGAGGGCUCCGCCCGAACCAGACGCACUUGACCUCAGAUCAGGUAGGGAUACCCGCUGAACUUAA
rnacentral:misc_RNA from 1 species